CUACGGGUCGCACCAGUGAGGAAUAUUGCACAAUGGGGGGAACCCUGAUGCAGCAACGCCGCGUGGAGGAUGACGCAUUUCGGUGUGUAAACUCCUUUUAUAUGUCAAGAAAAUGACGGUAGCAUAUGAAUAAGCACCGGCUAACUCCGUGCCAGCAGCCGCGGUAAUACGGAGGGUGCAAGCGUUACUCGGAAUCACUGGGCGUAAAGGACGCGUAGGCGGGCUUGUAAGUCAGGUGUGAAAUCCUACAGCUUAACUGUAGAACUGCACUUGAAACUACGAGCCUAGAGUAUGGGAGGGGGAGAUGGAAUUAGUGGUGUAGGGGUAAAAUCCGUAGAUAUCACUAGGAAUACCUAAAGCGAAGGCGAUCUCCUGGAACAUUACUGACGCUAAGGCGUGAAAGCGUGGGGAGCAAACAGGAUUAGAUACCCGGGUAGUC
rnacentral:rRNA from 1 species